GUGCGAUAGUCUGAGUAGUGCAUGGAUCGGGAAGCGGGACGUCCCUCAUCAUGGGUGGAAGCUCGCACGUUGUAGUAGCCGUUUGUCGGGUCCUGCAAAAGACACAUGUUUAGUGUAGCUAAUACGUGAACACUCGGUUAAUGACUCACGGAGUACAUGGCCUUCACCAUGCGUGUGGCAGUGGAGACGCUCCCCGAGUCUUCCUCCAGGCUGUGGGUCUCUUUGUUUAUGGUCUCUACCUUGAUAUCUGGCUUGCCCAGCGUGACCCCUCGACGACCUGAAGAGUAAACAUCUGAUCCAUCACCGCCUGAGCAUGCUUUUUGAAGUGUUUGUGGCUAUUAUUGAUGUUCAUAAAUAUGGCUAAAUAUACCCUUGGAUUUUGUGAGACACUUUUAUUUCUUAAAGACUUCUUAAAGAC